AUGGGGCCCUGGGGCCAGGAGGAGCAGGGUUCCCACAGCCACAGCCCUGGGACAGCCCCGAGUGUCCCUGGGACAGCCCCGAGUGUGUCCUGGACAGCCCUGAGUGUGUCCUGGGACAGCCCUGGGACAGCCCUGGGACAGCCCCGAGUGUGUCUCGCUUCGUGUGCUCUUGUGUGGGGUAGAGAAGGUGGCCCUGUCGUGUUGUUCGUGAGCUGUUCUUCCCCAGAGAGGUGUCCCAUGUAAAAUACGUCAGUGCAAAGUGUAUAUUUUAUGUGAGAGGAAAAUACAUUUUAAUAAAGGUAAAGCUUUGUUUAGCUGUAAAAAAUGGCAACUGUUCAAGUGUACAGUAACUUCUUACUAAUGUAUGAAAAUCUGUGAUAUUUUUGAUUUGAUUGUAUUUGUAUUGCCCAAAUAAAACAUUUUGGCUGUAUUGUUCCUAA